rnacentral:rRNA from 1 species
AGUGAACGCUGGCGGCGUGCCUAAUACAUGCAAGUCGAACGAAGUGGCGCGCGGGUGUGUAAUCUAUAGUUAAUCUGCCCUACCCAGAGGAAAAAAAGAUGGAAACGACUGCUAAUACCUCCUAGUGUAGGAUGAGACUAUAUCGUAUCAGCUAGUUGGUAAGGUAAUGGCGUACCAAGGAUAUGACGAGUAACUGGUCUGAUAGGAUGAUCAGUCACAUUGGAACUGAGACACCGUUGAAGCUUCUACCAGAGGCAGCAGUAAGGAAUAUUGCGCAAUGGGGGAGACCCGAACGGAGCAACGCCUCGUAGAGGAUGAUACUUUUCGGAGCGUAAACUCCUUUUAACAGGAAAGCGUUACCUAAUGAAUAAGCACCGGCUAACUCCGUGCCAGCAGCAGCGGUAAUUC